rnacentral:rRNA from 2 species
UGGCUCAGGACGAACGCUGGCGGCGUGCCUAAUACAUGCAAGUCGAGCGGAUCUUUGAAGGUGCUUGCACCUUUAAAGAUUAGCGGCGGACGGGUGAGUAACACGUAGGCAACCUGCCUGUAAGACAUGGGAUAACAUCCGGAAACGGAUGCUAAUACCGGAUACGCGGUUCCCCCGCAUGAGGGAACCGGGAAAGACGGAGUAAUCUGUCACUUACAGAUGGGCCUGCGGCGCAUUAGCUAGUUGGUGGGGUAACGGCCUACCAAGGCGACGAUGCGUAGCCGACCUGAGAGGGUGAUCGGCCACACUGGGACUGAGACACGGCCCAGACU